rnacentral:rRNA from 1 species
GACAGGAGGUCCCGAGCGUUAGGCGGAAUCACUGGGCUUAAAGCGUGUGUAGGCGGCGGCCCUAAGUACCUUGUGAAAUCCCACGGCUCACCCCGUGGAACUGCUCGGUAUACUGGGUCGGCUUGAGCCCACUUAGGGGCUACCGGAACAAAUGGUGGAGCCGGUGAAAUGCGUAGAUAUCAUUUGGACGCCAAUGGUGAAAACAGGUAGCUGGGAGUGUGCUGACGCCUGAGACACGAAA